CUUCUUGUCCACGUGUGGAGUGUUCAUCUUUAAACCCUCACCCUCACCUUUACCUUCUAAUUUCGACUCUCAUGUUUAAGUCGCUGAGGGUGUUUGAGCUUGUGGAAUCUGUGGUGGAGGUAGAGGAUGAUGAGGAGGUCAAUUGGAUUUUGUGUUUUCCCAAGACCCAAACCAAUAUGGAGUCUCUUGUGUUCGAUUGCGUUGAGUGUCCUAUUAAUUUCGAGGCUUUGGUGGCUAGGUCACCUUCCUUGAAGAAGCUUCGUUUGAACCGAUGUGUCUUCAUGGCGCAGCUUUACUGGUUAAUGGUUCAGGCUCCGUAGCUUACUCACCUUGGAACCGACUCAUUCAGUGCUACGGAGGGUGCGCUGGUUUUCGAUCAAGAGCUGGAUUAUGCCGCCGCAUUUGAGCUAUACUGGUUAAUGAUUAUAUUAUGCCAUUGUGUGUUUUGAUUGUAUUCUUGUGGAUUUGAAUUUUGAUUUGGGGCAGAUUGGUGUUUGGAUGUUGUUCUUGUACAGGUGCUUGAUUCGAUAUGCGAUGAAGGGCUUCAGGCAGUGGUUGUGGCUUGCAAGGACUUUAUAAAGAGAUUAACAUAAGUGAGAUUCAAUUAGUUCUUUAUGUAUACAAAGUCAAUUUUUGAAGUGUUAGCAAAUAUCAAAAUACGAAGUCAUGUUUUAAUCAGGAAAAAAUUGACUUGAGAAACGAAAAUAAAAAUAUUUUUUUGUCUCUAUACAUGUGUGUUUGAUGUCAAUACUGAAUAUAUAAUAUUUUCUCUUAUUUUGGUUGAAGGAUGUGAUUUUUUUAAAUACUUUCACAGAGAUAUGGUUCUUGCAGUUAUUAAUGGACUUAAUGGAACCAAAACAAUGAGAGGUUGUGAGCAACCACUAAUUGUUCGGUUUGCUGAUCCCAAAAGGCCUCGUCAAGGAAAUUCCAAGUGCUACUCAUAAUUCUACCAGGGUUGCUUAGUGGAUGCUUCAAGUACUUGGUGCCAGAAGUUACAUAGGUUGCAUAGGAAAGGACAAAUUUGGGGAAGAGAUGAAGAAGAGUUUCUGGCUUUUUCCUUACUGUAUCUCCUGAUUCGAUAC